UUCUCUAUUCUUCCCCUCGAUCACUCACUCCCUAAAUCCUUACUCUAUUCUUCGAAAUCGAUGUCUUUGAAUCACCUAGCACUAAAAUAUCUUCUUUGAGUUCUCUACAGCUCUACCAACCACCAUUCUCAUUUCUCUCUCUCUCUUCCAAUUUCAGUUUUCCCUUUCUCCUUUUGUACCCUUAACCCUAAAUUUUCAAUCUCAAUCUAAUGGUCGAGGAUGAACAGAGUCGCCCUCCAAGAUAAUCAAGAAACCAAGGCCGAAGGUAGAUUUUGAUUCUGGUUCCCCAUCUAUCUCUAUUUUCUCUUAGAUUUAGGGUUCUUAGGGUUUUGUUCUCUUAGAUUGUUCAUCUUCCUCUUCAACGACGGAGGAGAUAGAGUGUUGCAUAUCCACUUUCUCUCUCUCCUCCUCGCCUUCAAACUAGGGUCAAUUGAAGAGAUGCAGAAGACGAAGGUGUCCAAGACGGCGGAGGAAAAUGUGUUGUGCUGCGCAAACGAGGCGACGCUUGUUGGGCCUGUGACAAGAAGGUUCACGACACUGUGCUCAUUAGAUAGUGCCUUUCGUCGUCGCCGAUGAUUUUCCGGUCGAGGAGGGAAGGAGUUUAUACCAGAGAUGUUCAUAUUAUCAUCUCUGCGUUUCUGUUGUGCUUACGGUACCGCUCAGAAUCUGGAGAGCAUUGUCAACAAUGAGGAGGAUUUGGGAACGACGUCGCUUGAGAUUUUGUACAUGUCUCCGGUGGCUAGGAAACUGGGACCAAAGAACGCUUUGAUUCUUGGGACUACUGGAUAUUGGUUGUUCAUUGCUACUAAUUUGAAGCCAACUUGGUGCAGAGAAAGCAUGUUUAUGAACUUAGGCAUCCAAUUUUAACUAGUGAUAAUGAAAGUUGUUCCCAGCAUGUAUUCCAGAAGACAAGAAGAAACUCGAGGAGCAUCGCCAUGACAUGGAUGUAGUGAUUGAGCAAUUGGAAAGCAGUUGACCGUUCUACAUAGGAGCCAUAUAUAUAGCGGCUACAUAUGUGCAUGUUAAGUAUAUAUUGUAUCAGCUUUUGCUGUUUUUCAUUUUUUGAAAUUGUUAGCUAGAAUGUUGCUACGUUAAGCUAGCGACAAUGCUUUCUUUGUUGGUUUUAUGGUCUAGAAACUUGAAUGUAUGGAUGAUUGACA